GUAUGACUGGGUGGGCUAAGGAUCAAAUUCUCACCACAGCAAUGAAAAUACCAGAUCCUUAACCUGCUGAGCCCGGAGGGAACUCAAAGGACCAGUGAUUUUUAAGGUUUGAUCUUAUGGUAAUUUUUUGGCAAGGUUUGUCUUUGUUUGUUUGUUUGUUUGUUUGUGGUUAAAGUUACCUUUUAAAAAAAUAUGGUGUAGAGUGUACGUUAUUUUUAGCUAAAAGAACAUAACUUUUUCUUCUUUUUAAACAGUGCCAAUGGCAGUCAUUCUUGGGUACAAACAUUAUUUCUUUCAAACGCUCUGUUUGGGAUGGUUGAUCCUAACAGCUACCACACGUUGGGCUCAUUUGGGAAAAGACACUGCUCAGAGCCAGUGAGACGUUCAAGCUAAAUGUUAUGAAGAAGGUCACUGGGCCUGGCUGCCUGCACACUGUGCCCUGUGCCUGGAGAACACAUUCCAGGGAGGGAGUCAUGUUCUUAAAAAACCCCUGAGUUCCCGCUGUGGUGCCAUCGGUUAAGGAUCCAGUACGGCCACAGUUAUGGUGCAGGUCACAGAUGCGGCUCAGCUUUGAUCCCCGGCCCCAGAACUUCCAUAUGCUUGGGGUGCGGCUAAAAAAGGGGGAAAAAUCUCCCUGGGUGACUCUAGUGAGCAAGUGAGGGGAAAUAUUGAAAUACAGUGAGGAUUCCCUCAGCACCACUGUUGGGGACCACGGAACAGCUGAACUCUGCAGAAGGCAAAUAUCUAUGGACACAGAGUUCUGAAGUACCAAGUGUCCUCCAAAGACAAGAUAAAGGACUUAUGCAUUAACCAUGUCAUUCCAUAAACAGCUGCACUGUGUCCUAAGGAUACCCCCUUGGAUAUCACUAAGAAGAUAACCUGCUUAUUGCCUAUGCCUGUUCCUGCCCACUAACCUUGUCACCUUCCUUAAUCCCACUACUAACAAGCUCAUCACCUUCCUUAAUAAGAGUCCUGUGGGCUAAAGCCCAGGCGCCUUUGUUCUGUGGACCAGAGUGCCUCCUGGUCCCACACUUUCCAGGUGUAAGAGUCUUGCGUGUUCUGUGACACCCUGCCGUCCCGCUUCCAGGAUUGGAAUGACGCGUCACCAGCUUCCAGGAGCAUCUGAGGCCGUCCUCCCACAGCCUCACGUCUCUACACAGAAGAGCCCCCUUCUCCUCAGAGCUGAGGGCCACACAGGAAGGAGGGCUCUGGCCUCCAGAGAGGAGCCACACAGAGGAAGGGACCAGGCACCCUGCACAGAAGGGGACCUGCCUCCAGGAAGCCAUCACUGCUCUGACUUGAUCUUGAUCUCAGAGGAAUUUGUGCCCCAGAAGCCCCCUCAGUCCUGACCCCUGAGCAGCCAAGGGCACCCUCAAGACUCACCCUGAGGGGUGUGAGGGGAGCACACAGAGGCUCUGAGGAGACAGGGGACACAAAGCGUCAACUGCCUUGUCCCUAAGGCAGGGGACAGUGUUCAGAGCAGGGGGAAAGACCUGUCCCUGAGGGGCUCUGGUCACCAGGUCACAUGCUGUGCCUGGGUCUGGACACCAGGGGGCGCUCUGGGUGCAUUCGUCAGGGUGGAGGGGGUUUCUGGGGAUGAGAGCUGGGACCAGCCACCUAGCACUGCCUCCUGCCCUCUGUUCAGGGCUCCGAGCUGGGGACUCCCCACCGAUCCCCCGCCCCCCGCCCCCGUCGAUGCCUCUGCCCACCUCCAGGCCACCCUGAAGCAGAGGAACGUGAUCUAGAGCCCAGUGAGAGGUCAGAGCUGGGGGUGCCAUUGGCAUGCAGGGCCCCUCCCUCUCUCCGAGUAAGAAGAGGGGAAGGACAGACUGGGGGUCGCUCUGCUUCAGCUGUGGGGCCACAGCAAGCAGCCACGAGGACAGCCUGCAUCGUGGCCUGGUCCCCUCUGCUCCUCACCCUCCUGGCUCACUGCACGGGUGACUGGGGACAGGGACAGGGGAGGGGGCCUGGGAACAGCCCUGGGCCCUGCUUCCUCCUGUGUCUGCACCCCAGAAUCAGCAUCUCUGUCUCUCCUGCUUCCAGGAUCCUGGGCCCAGGCUGUGCUGACUCAGCCGCCCUCUGAGUCUGGGUCCCUGGGCCAGAGGGUCACCCUCUCCUGCACUGGGAGCAGCAGCAACAUCGGGGGUGGUAAUAGUUGUGAACUGGUCCCAGCCGCUCCCAGGAAAGGUCCCCAGAUCCGUAUUCACUUAUGCCAAUCUCAUGGCUAUUGCUGCCCCGGAUCAGAUCUCUGGCUUCAAGUCUGGCAGCUCAGGCACCCUGACCAUCACUGGGCUCCAGGCUGAGGAUGACGCUGAGUAUUACUGCACAGCCGGGGGUGACAGCCUCGAUGGCCCCACAGUGCCCCAGGCCAGGGGGCAAGUGAGACCAAAACCUGCUGUCCCCCAGCCAGGGGGCUCCCUGGGCAGAGCCAUCCUCUGCAUCAUCAGCUGCUGCCUUUGUCUGUUUGCCCACAGGCAGCCUGAGCCCAACAGCUGCCAGAACAUGUCCUCGUCACUAUCUGUCCCCAAACCUCUCCUCUGUGGCAGCACACGGUCUCAUUUCCUCAAGUUGAGCACAAAUCCCUGGAUGCUAGGGACAGGGGUGUGGAAAAGGGAAUAGGGAGCUUGGCAAGAGCGAAGCCAUCUUGCUGCCACUGUCCAUCUUGGUGAACUUAAACUGACCCAUACGAGGGCUCUGAGCAAAACAAAGUCGUUAGCACUUGAGAAACUCC
rnacentral:lncRNA from 1 species